rnacentral:tRNA from 1 species
GAGGGCAUAGCUCAGUGGUAGAGCGCCUGCUUAGCAUGCAUGAGGUCCUGGGUUCAAUCCCCAGCACCUCCA